UAGGAGAGUAACUUUGGUGCAGAUAUCUUCUUUGGUUGUUAUACAAAAAUUAAAGAAACUGCAGCCCAAAGUUGGGCUGUCAGUCUGCCUAAAACCUGAAUUAUGGUAUUCAGUGGCAUAGGAUGAACUCUAGGGCCAUUUUGAAGAUGAUCCCAUUGAUGUUUGAGCAUGGUUACCAUAAUCGGUUUAUAGCUGGAUCAUAGGGCUACAGGUUUGCUACAAACGGAUUAGUAAGUUCUUACGCGAAAAUUCAAGAUUUUGGUGUCACAAAUCUAUCUAUCAGGCUGACUGAAGAAGAUUGUGAUGGUACAGUAACCAAAAAAAUCAGCAGAUUCAGUGAACUGGCCGCCGGUGACCCUUCACCGGGAUUUGUGCUGCUCGCCGUGAUUCGUGCAUCUGGUCUGUGGAUUGAGUUCGCCGGUGAAAAGAUCUCGUCACGGAUGGGUUCAAGUUACUGUGGCCUCGCUGUUCCUCAAUCACUUGCACCGGCGACGUGGCUUUACGGCCAUCACCGGAGUUGGCGUCUUUCACCGCGGUUGUGCCAUGCCCCAGGCCUUUAACCACGUCGAUUCCAGCCGCACCAGCUCGCCGAUAACCGCCGUAGCCCCUCAGCCGGUGAGUGCCACGGUUUCACCCGCGCCAGUAGCCUUCUCCCUCUCCGGCCACCAGCGCGUCUUCGUGAAAUUGGACACCACCGCCUUGCGCUCCUAUAAAUUGAUGGUCUGUUCUGUUGCGCCAUACUAUCACGAAGCUAGAGCACCCAUUCCCGCCUUCAAUUAGCCACCAUAGCCGGAGAAUUUCCUUCUUCCCCCAAUUCAGUCGACUGCGUUGCCGUGAACCGCCUCAUCGCGGCUAGCUGCUUCCAGGUCCGCCCUCGCUCUUUUUGUCCAUGUUUCAGUGCCCACACGUGCUUGUGAUCGUCACCUGCUCAGCCCAUUGAGUUUGACUUCACCUAAUCAACCGGAACGUCUUGAUCGGUGUUUGGUAUCCGCUGUCACUGUGGUCAGGCACAUCCUGGCCCAGAUUAAUCCAAUUAAAGCUUGUUCUAGGGUCGCCUCGGGUCAGUAAUGCUUACCCAACAGCUGGUUUAGGCAGCCGCCGAAGUUCUUGGCUAGUCCGAGCAACGGGAUGGUCGGUGGUGAGCACGCCGUGGUCUAGGGGUCGGGUUAAAGAAGAAACAGAACUAGAGGGGGGUUUUGUAAGGUGUUAGUGAGACAUGGGAA
rnacentral:lncRNA from 7 species